rnacentral:tRNA from 1 species
AUUUAUAUGCCUGAAUAAAAGGGUUAAUUUGAUAGAUUAAAUAAUGAGAAAUU